rnacentral:tRNA from 1 species
GGGGAUAUAGCUCACUUGGUAGAGUGCUUGCCUUACGUGCACAAGGCCCUGGUUUCAGUCCUCAGUACCCCCC